rnacentral:rRNA from 1 species
AGAGUUUGAUCAUGGCUCAGGAUGAACGCUGGCGGCGUGCCUAACACAUGCAAGUCGAACGGAGUUGUUUGAGGAAGUUUUCGGAUGGAAUCAGAUGACUUAGUGGCGGACGGGUGAGUAACGCGUGGGAAACCUGCCCUGUACUGGGGGAUAACACUUAGAAAUAGGUGCUAAUACCGCAUAAGCGCACAGCUUCGCAUGAAGCGGUGUGAAAAACUCCGCGG